rnacentral:lncRNA from 1 species
GGUGCCUUUUAUAGGUGACUAUGAGGUAUGACCUUUGCUCAUUGUUGAAGACCGUAUUGUGACCUAUAGUUGUUAAUUCCUGUGUCAUCUGAUCUCUUGUGGAGAGUUCUCAUUGGCACUCAAGCCAUAUUAGGUAAAGGGUGGGGAUCCCGUUAACGAAUUUAACCCCGCCUUAUUCUGUAUGUAUGUGCCUGUCCCAAGUCAGGAGCCUGUAAUUCAGUAAUUGUCGUUUGUUUAUGUGUUACAUAUUUGUUUUUUGUACAUAAAUUAUGC